CCUACGGGAGGCAGCAGUGGGGAAUAUUGCACAAUGGGGGAAACCCUGAUGUAGCGACGCCGCGUGAGGGAUGAAGGUCUUCGGAUCGUAAACCUCUGUCAGCAGGGAAGCACGGUCACUGUGCUAAUCAGCAGUGAAUUGACGGUACCUGCAAAGGAAGCACCGGCUAACUCCGUGCCAGCAGCCGCGGUAAUACGGAGGGUGCGAGCGUUAAUCGGAAUUACUGGGCGUAAAGCGCUCGUAGGCGGUAUGUCAAGUCAAGGGUGAAAUCCCCGCGCUCAACGUGGGAACUGCCUUUGAAACUGGGAAACGGGAGUGUGUGAGAGGAUAGUGGAAUUCCAGGUGUAGGAGUGAAGUCCGUAGAUAUCUGGAGGAACAUCAGUGGCGAAGGCGACUAUCUGGCACAUAACUGACGCUGAGGAGCGAAAGCGUGGGUAGCAAACAGGAUUAGAUACCCCUGUAGUC
rnacentral:rRNA from 1 species